rnacentral:sRNA from 1 species
CCCACGGCUCACGCCGUGGGCUAUUCUCUGUCGCCGCUCCGCGGCU